GGGUCAGUAGGUUGGUCGUGCCACCGGUACGUACUGGUCUCACUGAUUGCUCCUUCCUGAAGAACCGUAAUGCCAUUAAUUUGGUGUUGCGGGGAAACAGGACUGUUACUUUGAAAAAAUUAGAGUGUUUAAAGCAAGCUAACGCUUGAAUACAUUAGCAUGGAAUAAUGAAAUAGGACGAUCGAUCCUAUUUUGUUGGUUUCUAGGAUUGACGUA
rnacentral:rRNA from 1 species